CCACAGGCACCACUAGUCGACGCUGCUCUCUGGAUCACCGGGGUGUGGCCUAUUGGGAACCACCCAGCUAUGCCCGCUGCAUAACCAAUGAAUAUAGAUACCUGCAGCAAUCAGUAGGUCUAUCUUCAAUCCAGGGCCAUCUAGCUAAGGGCCAGGGGAAGUUGGCGGGGGACGGGAUGUCUCAGGUGACCAAGACCCUGCUGGAUCUCACCCAGAGAAGGAACUUCUACGCUGGAGACCUGCUGUCCUCUGUGGAGAUACUCAGAAACGUGACUGAUACCUUCAAGAGGGCCAGUUACGAACCCAGCUCAGACGACGUGCAGGGAUACUUUUAUUUGUUGCAUACAUGAAAAUAGAAAACAAUAUGAUCAUGUUUCAAAGGAAAAGAGCAUGUGCAGGAGAGGUGGAAAACCCCUGAGAGGCUUGUCAAUGUAUCUCCCCCUUUCCAUUGAAACUGGAAUGAUUAUUUACACAGUUAAAGUCCCCAUGACACCUUUGUUAUUUUAAAUCAUCACUGUAUGUCUCAUAAAUAACCGUGUGUGUUUAUUUAAUGAAAAUAACUUUUUGAAUAAUUUAUUUCCCUGAGCCUCCUUUGGCUCUUGAAAUGCUCAGCC